GCUUACGGCCAUACCACCCUGAGAACGCCCGAUCUCGUCUGAUCUCGGAAGCUAAGCAGGGUCGGGCCUGGUUAGUACUUGGAUGGGAGACCACCUGGGAAUACCAGGUGCUGUAAGCC
ensembl:rRNA 5S_rRNA 5S ribosomal RNA